GGGCGCGAGCACGUUUGACAGUUCGACCAAGCCUGGAGGAAAAACAAUUCUAACCUCACAACGUAAACUGCAGUUGUUGUUCGGUGAUAGUGUAUAAAAAAACUGUUAAUUUGUUGUUUGUGAGCUGAAUUUUGUGACCAAACUCGUAAAAACUAUGCCUAACUUUUGUAUGGUGGUAAAUUGUGGAAGUGUCGCUUCCAGAGAUGUUAAUAUACGUUUUUUCAGGAUACCUUCUAUAUUUACGCCAGGGAAAAAGCUCUGCGCCUUGUCACAACGACGUAGAGAAAUGUGGAUCAAAGCUUUAAGAAGAGAAGAUCUAACGGAUACGAAAAUUAAAUAUGGACGUAUUUGUUCACGUCAUUUCCACUCUGGAAAACCAGCAGCUUUGAAGGAUACCACC